UAACACAGGUCUUUGAGUAAACUUUGCUUC
rnacentral:piRNA from 1 species